rnacentral:rRNA from 1 species
GACGAACGCUGGCGGCGUGCUUAACACAUGCAAGUCGAACGGAAAGGCCCUGCUUUUGUUGGGUGCUCGAUUGGCGAACGGGUGAGUAACACGUGAGUAACCUGCCCUUGACUUUGGGAUAACUUCAGGAAACUGGGGCUCAUACCGGAUAUGAGCUCCUGCUGCAUGGUGGGGGUUGGAAAGUUUCGGCGGUUGGGGAUGGACUCGCGGCUUAUCAGCUUGUUGGUGUGGUAGUGGCUUACCAAGGCUUUGACGGGUAGCCGGCCUGAGAGGGUGACCGGCCACAUGGGGACUGAGAUACGGCCCAGACUCCUACGGGAGGCAGCAGGGGGGAAUAUUGCACAAUGGGCGGAAGCCUGAUGCAGCAACGCCGCGUGCGGGAUGACGGCCUUCGGGUUGUAAACCGCUGUCGCCUGUGACGAAGCGUGAGUGACGGUAAUGGGUAAAGAAGCACCGGCUAACUACGUG